AGUAAAAGUCGUAACAAGGUCUCCGCUGGUGAACCAGCGGAGGGAGCUGGAAGUAAAAGUCGUAACAAGGUUUCCGUAGGUGAACCUGCGGAAGGAUCAUUACCGAGAGUUGUAGGCUUCUGUCUACCAUCUCUUACCCAUGUCUUUUGCGUACUACACGUUUCCUCGGCAGGUCCGCCUGCCGUUAGGACAAUUUAAACCAUUUGCAGUUGCAGUCAGCGUCUGAAAAACUUAAUAAUUACAACUUUUAACAACGGAUCUCUUGGUUCUGGCAUCGAUGAAGAACGCAGCGAAAUGCGAUAAGUAGUGUGAAUUGCAGAAUUCAGUGAAUCAUCGAAUCUUUGAACGCACAUUGCGCCCCUUGGUAUUCCAUGGGGCAUGCCUGUUCGAGCGUCAUUUGUACCUUCAAGCUCUGCUUGGUGUUGGGUGUUUGUCCCGCCUCUGUGCGUGGACUCGCCUUAAAGCAAUUGGCAGCCGACGUAUUGUUUCGGAGCGCAGCACAAAUUGCGCUUUGUAGCUAUUACGACAGCAUCCAUCAAGCCUUUUUUCACGCUUGACCUCGGAUCAGGUAGGGAUACCCGCUGAACUUAAGCAUAUCAAUAAGCGGAGGAA
rnacentral:rRNA from 1 species